rnacentral:rRNA from 1 species
GUCUACGGCCAUACCACCCUGAACACGCCUGAUAUCACCUGAUAUUGGAAGCUAAGCUGGGUUGGGCCAGGUUAGUACUUGGAUCAGAUGCUUUUUUUUCCCAUAUUUUAAACAGGAUUUGUGGGGA